GACGUAGGUCGCGAGCGUUGUCCGGAUUUAUUGGGCGUAAAGAGCUCGUAGGCGGCUCAUUGCGUCAACCGUGAAAACCAGCAGCUCAACUGUUGGCUUGCGGUUGAUACGGGUGGGCUGGAGUUCGGUAGGGGAGACUGGAAUUCCUGGUGUAGCGGUGAAAUGCGCAGAUAUCAGGAGGAACACCGGUGGCGAAGGCGGGUCUCUGGGCCGAUACUGACGCUGAGGAGCGAAGGCGUGGGGAGCGAACAGG
rnacentral:rRNA from 1 species